UACGUAGGGUGCAAGCGUUGUCCGGAAUCAUUGGGCGUAAAGCGCGCGUAGGUGGCUUUGUAAGUCCGUUGUGAAAGUCAGAGGCUCAACCUUUGAAUGCCGAUGGAUACUGCGGAGCUAGAGUACGGAAGAGGCGAGUGGAAUUCCUGGUGUAGCGGUGGAAUGCGCAGAUAUCAGGAGGAACACCAAUAGCGAAGGCAGCUCGCUGGGACGUUACUGACACUAAGGCGCGAAAGCGUGGGGAGCGAACGAGG
rnacentral:rRNA from 1 species